GAGCAAAGCUAUUGUGUAUUACAGUGAAUCUAAUUGCUUUUGAGCGACUAACAGAGAGGAACAAUUUCAAGCAGUUCUUUCCUCGGCACCCUGUCUUUGCCAUGCCUUAAAGUGUGAAUCCAAAUAUGUCGCACGUCGCCGACCUUGAAAGAAAACUAGUAAUGUCUUCCCCUUCCGCAUUCACCCGAACUGUGUCCUCAAAUAACGAUUAAUUUCCAAUUUCAUUAUGCGAAUAGGUUAGGGAGUUUUAGGCAUUUCUAGUAAUAUGCUUUACUCAGCAGUUGUUAACGAACAAUGUCAUUGCUUUGUUGUUUACGCAAUAAUUUUGACUCGGGUUAAACUCUGGAAACCGUUUCAAGAACAUAUCUUGUGCUUAGUUGGAUUUUAUUGCUUUUGUUCCUGUGUAAUUUCAGGACUUUUUCGUUGUCGCAGCACAACAACCGAACUAUAUUUUCAUCUCCAGACAGGUCGUGGUAAUUAACGACUAGAGAAAGAAAGAUUGACAUUCUGAAAAUAAGCUAUCUCACCCAAGCUCUUUUAAAGUGAUCUCUGUCAGAACAGAUGUUACAUUACAAUAUUUACGAGUGCUUGAUUUCUAUGUGUUAACCAAACAGAUUAUUUUUUACCACUUUGUAACUUCAUUGACGUUUUUCUGUUGAGCAGCGUCAUGUACAGUAUUCUCCUAGUGUUAACAUCUACAUUUCAGUUAGAUUUAUGAACGAUUAUUUCAAAAGUAAAGGUAUACAUAUUAUCAA